rnacentral:rRNA from 1 species
GAUUAACGCUAGCGGUAUGCCUAAUACAUGCAAGUCGAGCGGGAGCAGCAAUGCUCUAGCGGCAAACGGGUGAGUAAUACGUAUCUAAUCUGCCCUUUAGAAAGGAACAACAGAUUGAAAGAUUUGCUAAUACCUUAUAGGACAUUAACUCGCAUGAGAUGAUGUUUAAAGUUCCGUUUGGAACGCUUUAGGAUGAGGGUGCGGCUUAUCAGAUUGUUGGUGAGGUAAUGGCCCACCAAGUCGAUGACGAGUAGCUAUGCUGAGAGGUAGAAUAGCCACAAGGGGACUGAGACACGGCCCCUACUCC